rnacentral:lncRNA from 1 species
GCAUCAUAUCAAAAUCAUUUUGUGAAUGCUAUACAACCACUUCUCAUAUCCAAUUCAAUGUAUACACCAGAAUCAAUACCAUUAACAAAAUCAUACACGUAUAUAAAAUGCUCGUUUACAUUUGAGAUAUCAAAUUCUAUAUGAAAUGUACAGUUUCACCGUAAUUUUAUACAUAGACACUUCAUAGUAAUCUUGAAUAUUCAUUGGCACUGAACAUGUGAAAAGGGAAAAUCAAAAUCACAACAAUAAACAACAAUUAACAAAGAGAUUUGUAUUAGUCUCUUAGUUUUUCAAGCUCAACGCAACUUCCAUUUUUGAGUACAUUUCGAUGUUCAAAUUCACUUACAAGUAUCCUGCUGCAUCAACCAUUAUAUAUCUUCCUGAAAAGAUAGUGAAGGAUAUCAUUAUUAUUGGUUUUUAUCAACUAAGUAUAUAUUAUCGAAUUCAAAACGGGGAGACCAAAUACAUAUAUGUUAAUUGCCUUUGAUCACAUCAAAGCAAAGCAAACAGAUAAUAUAAGUGAUAAGCAUCAUACCUUGAUGUUUUCAAACAGAGAAUACCCAACUGCGAUGACCAGCUACAGCAAGUCCGAAACAUUUGGAUUACUUAUUAUUCAUUAUUAGGAUCUAUAACCUUUGACGAAAAGAAGAAGAGCAAGGUUUUGACAGAAAACCUUGUUUGGUUUGUAGAAUAACAACCUUAACACACCUCAAGAUAGACCCAAAGCUGCAACGAAAAUUGCAGUCAUAACACACCUCAAAAAACCAAAGCCGAAACACUCUUCUAGGGUAAGCAAAGAAAAACAUACUACAAACAAACUUAAUCACUAACCAUAAAACAUCCCAGCAGCUAUCGAGAUCUUGAAUAGGGUAGGAAAUCUAUAUUUAGCAAAGAUGCUACAGCACAACAGCUAUCUCCAGUCGCCUCAUUUUCUUUUUAGAUUUCAUGAUGAAUAUAUUUUGUGUCAUGGCUUUGUGUAACUGUAGCUUAGGAGAUUGGCCUCAACAUAUGCUUCCACAUUUCAUUCCAUCUCUUAAACAACUUACCAUAAUGCAUUUUCAAUACAUGAGGCUGCCAUUUUUUCCCUCUGAAAUUACUCUUGGAUGGAAAAUUGACACCCUAUUAAAGAGUUAUAAGUAGGAUUAUCUUUUGUCCCCUUACAUUGUUUUACAGAUUAAUUUUUAUCAAUCAGCAAACACACACUUUAUAAAAUUGAUAGACAACAGAAAAUUAUCAAAGUUAGAGAUGUCAUUUUAAAAAGCAAGAUAUCAAAACCAUAGAUUAUAAAAGUUGUUGAUCUGCAUAAAAAUUCAAAUUAAAGUGGAAGGAGGGAACCUAAAAACCACAUAUUGAAUGCAAGAACAAAAUAGAUCUGCAUCAUUCAUCAUCUAAUGCAAUAAGUACGUAUUUAUAUCAAUAUGAAUCCAUGUCAGAAGAAAAAAUAGUUAAACUAUAGUCU